rnacentral:rRNA from 1 species
CAGUCGCCGCGGUAAUACGUAGGGUGCAAGCGUUAAUCGGAAUUACUGGGCGUAAAGCGUGCGUAGGCGGUGAGUUAAGUCUGCUGUGAAAUCCCCGGGCUCAACCUGGGAAUGGCAGUGGAUACUGGCUCGCUAGAGUGUGUCAGAGGAUGGCGGAAUUCCCGGUGUAGCGGUGAAAUGCGUAGAGAUCGGGAGGAACAUCAGUGGCGAAGGCGGCCAUCUGGGACAACACUGACGCUGAGGCACGAAAGCGUGGGGAGCAAACAGGAUUAGAUACCCCCGUAGUCCCUGUCUCUUAUAC